rnacentral:lncRNA from 1 species
AAGAAGGCAUUAGUGAUGGGCAUCGUAGAUCUCACCCCCGAAAGCUUUGCCGUCGGCUUGACCUCUGGUGACCCUGAAGAUCCUCCUGCCAAUGUGGCGAUUGAACUCAAAGCUGUGUUCACAGACCUGCAGCUCCUCUUGUAUCUCAGGAGAAAGAGGCGGAAGAGCAGUCAGCAGUAGUCGGCAGUCCCUUACUUUCCAUUCAUCCCAGACCAGCUAUUCAGGGUGGAGAUUCUUUGCCACCACCAUGGUUCAGAGUGUUUGUGGAUGGACACAAACUUUUUGAUUUUUAUCAUUGUAUUCAAACAUUAUCUGCAAUUGAUACCAUGAAGAUCAACGGGGACCUCCAGAUCACCAAACUUGGCUGA